GCCGGCCACAGGGGGUGAAAGCCCCGUAGGCGAAAGGGAUCUUCGGCGGAUGUUCGCCACCUAAGUACCGCGGGACACGUGAAAUCCCGCGGGAAUCCGGGAGGACCACCUCCCAAGGCUAAAUACUACCCAGCGACCGAUAGUGAACUAGUACCGUGAGGGAAAGGUGAAAAGCACCCCGGGAGGGGAGUGAAAUAGUACCUGAAACCGUGUUGCCUACAAACAGUGGGAGGGCUAUGGCGCGAGCCAGCCUGACCGCGUACUUUUUGUAGAACGGACCGGCGACUUACGGUGUGCGGCAAGGUUAAGCGGAUAACGCGGAGCCGAAGCGAAAGCGAGUCUUAACAGGGCGAAUUAGUCGUACGCUGUAGACCCGAAACCGGGCGAUCUAUCCAUGGCCAGGGUGAAGCGGAAGUAACGUUCCGUGGAGGCCCGAACCCAUUAGUGUUGAAAAACUAUGGGAUGAGCUGUGGAUAGGGGUGAAAAGCCAAUCGAGCUCGGAGAUAGCUGGUUCUCCCCGAAAUAGCUUUAGGGCUAGCCUCGGGAAUAGGCUUGCGGAGGUAGAGCACUGAUCGGGCAAGGGGCCCUGAAAGGUUACCGACCCCUUUCAAACUCCGAAUGCCGCAAGCUGGUGCCCGGGAGUCAGACUGUGGGGGCUAAGCUUCAUAGUCGAGAGGGAAACAGCCCAGACCGCCGGCUAAGGUCCCAAAUUGACAGCUAAGUGGUAAAGGAUGUGGAACUGCCCAGACAACCAGGAUGUUGGCUUAGAAGCAGCCAUACAUUUAAAGAGUGCGUAAUAGCUCACUGGUCGAGUGGGUCUGCGCCGAAAAUGUCCGGGGCUCAAGCUGUCAACCGAAGCCGCGGAACUCAAGUAUUGGGUUGGUAGGGGAGCGUUGCCUGCUGGUUGAAGCACGACCGUAAGGACGUGUGGACGGCAGGGAAGUGAGAAUGCCGGUAUGAGUAGCGAAAAGGCAGGUGAGAAUCCUGCCCGCCGGAAGCCUAAGGUUUCCUGAGGAAGGUUCGUCCUCUCAGGGUAAGCCGGGGCCUAAGCCGAGGCCGAAGGGCGUAGGCGAUGGACAACGGGUUGAAAUUCCCGUGCCGCCUCGGUCGCGCUUGAGCGAAGCGGGGACGCAGAAGGGUAGGCACAGCAGGCUGAUGGAAUAGCCUGUCCAAGCGAGUAGGGUGUCGCGUAGGCAAAUCCGCGCGACGUGAAGCCCAAGACGCGAGUGGGUGCGGAUACGUCCGCUGAACUGGCCAAUCCCAUGCUGCCAAGAAAAGCCGCUAGCGAGCGACCAGGCGCCCGUACCGCAAACCGACACAGGUAGGCGAGGAGAGGAUCCUAAGGCGCGCGAGAGAACCCUCGUUAAGGAACUCGGCAAAAUGGCCCCGUAACUUAGGGAUAAGGGGCGCCCCGGUAGGGUGAAGGGCAACACGCCCGAAGCCUGAGGGGGCCGCAGUGAAACGGCCCGAGCGACUGUUUACCACAAACACAGGUCUCUGCUAAGUCGCAAGACGAAGUAUAGGGGCUGACGCCUGCCCAGUGCCGGAAGGUUAAGGGGAGGGCUUAGCGCAAGCGAAGGUCUGAACCGAAGCCCCGGUGAACGGCGGCCGUAACUAUAACGGUCCUAAGGUAGCGAAAUUCCUUGUCGGGUAAGUUCCGACCUGCACGAAUGGCGUAACGACUUGGGCGCUGUCUCAACGAGGGACUCGGCGAAACUGUAAGUGCACGUGAAGAUACGUGCUACCCACGACUAGACGGAAAGACCCCAUGGAGCUUUACUGCAUCCUGAGAUUGGAUUUUGGCAGGGCAUGUACAGGAUAGGUGGGAGGCUGAGAAGCAAUGACGCUAGUUGUUGUGGAGCCACCCUUGGGAUACCACCCUUGUUUUGCUGGAGUUCUAACCCGCGGCCGUGAUCCGGCUGGGGGACAUUCUCAGGUGGGCAGUUUGACUGGGGCGGUCGCCUCCUAAAAGGUAACGGAGGCGCCCCAAGGUUCCCUCAGCGCGGUUAGAAAUCGCGCGCAGAGUGCAAAGGCAGAAGGGAGCUUGACUGCGAGACGUACAUGUCGAGCAGGGACGAAAGUCGGGCUUAGCGAUCAGGUGGUUCCGAGUGGAAGGGCCAUCGCUCAACGGAUAAAAGCUACCCUGGGGAUAACAGGCUUAUCUCUCCCAAGAGUCCAUAUCGACGGGGAGGUUUGGCACCUCGAUGUCGGCUCGUCGCAUCCUGGGGCUGAAGUAGGUCCCAAGGGUUGGGCUGUUCGCCCAUUAAAGCGGCACGCGAGCUGGGUU
rnacentral:rRNA from 1 species